rnacentral:rRNA from 1 species
CCUACGGGAGGCAGCAGUAGGGAAUAUUGCUCAAUGGGGGAAACCCUGAAGCAGCAACGCCGCGUGGAGGAUGAAGGUUUUCGGAUUGUAAACCCCUUUUGUUAGAGAAGAACAUGGCGGUAUCUAACGAAUAAGCACCGGAUAAUACCGUUCCAGCAGCCGCGGUAAUACGGAGGGCGCAAGCUUUACUCGGAAUCACUGGGCGGAAAGAGAGCGUAGGCGGUAUAGCAAGUCAGAUGUGAAAUCCUAUGGCUUAACCAUAGAAGUGCAUUUGAAACUGUUAUGCUAGAGUAUGGGAGAGGUAGGUGGAAUUCUUGGUGUAGGGGUAAAAUGCGUAGAGAUCAAGAGGAAUACUCAUUGCGAAGGCGACCUGCUAGAACAUAACUGACGCUGAUGCGCGAAAGCGUGGGGAGCAAACAGGAUUAGAUACCCGAGUAGUC